rnacentral:rRNA from 1 species
UCGAGAAUUUUUGACAAUGGGGGAAACCCUGAUCGAGCGACGCCGCGUGGAGGAUGAAGGUCUUCGGAUUGUAAACUCCUGUCAUUGGGGAACAAUGCACAGAUAUUAACUGUAUUUGUGUUGAUAGUACCCGAAGAGGAAGGGACGGCUAACUCUGUGCCAGCAGCCGCGGUAAUACAGAGGUCUCAAGCGUUGUUCGGAUUCAUUGGGCGUAAAGGGUGCGUAGGCGGCGCGGUAAGUCGGGUGUGAAAUCUCGGAGCUUAACUCCGAAACUGCAUUCGAUACUGCCGUGCUUGAGGACUGGAGAGGAGACUGGAAUUUACGGUGUAGCGGUGAAAUGCGUAGAUAUCGUAAGGAAGACCAGUGGCGAAGGCGGGUCUCUGGACAGUUCCUGACGCUGAGGCACGAAGGUCAGGGGAGCAAACGGG